rnacentral:lncRNA from 1 species
UUCUUUGAAAUCUAGAUAAGAUUGACAGUCAGAUGUCAGACCUUCUGACAGCUAGAGAGUCCAUGUCAAUCGUGUUUAUUAAAGGUAGAAAUUCCGCUGAAUUAAUUUUAAUUUACAUACAAAUCCCAUCUCAUCUCUCCACUGUUGGUAAUCCUUUUAUUAAGAGUUCAUUCUAGAAGAAAUGCCUUAUAAAUCUUUAACUCAUGCUCUCCUCUAUUAUUGACUGAAGACUUUGUCUGUUUGGUGUGUGUUGAGCAUUUUGUUUUCGCAGUAUGAAAGUUUAUCAAAGUUUUUUUCUAGAUGACCUUUUACUUGCCAACUUCCAAUGAAGUGGCGUCAAAAGCUAUCGCAUUGCACUUGGCCUGUUUAUUUGUUUGGCGCGUGUUUGGUCAUUAGAUACGACACCCGGUCAACAGGCUGCCUGUUCCAAC